GAUGAACGCUGGCGGCGUGCUUAACACAUGCAAGUCGAACGAUGAAGCCCAGCUUGCUGGGUGUAUUAGUGGCGAACGGGUGAGUAACACGUGAGUAACCUGCCCUUAACUCUGGGAUAAGCCUUGGAAACUGGGUCUAAUACCGGAUAGGAGCGUCCACCGCACGGGGGGGGUGGGAAAGAUUUAUCGGUUUUGGAGGGACUCGCGGCCUAUCAGCUUGUUGGUGGGGUAAUGGCUCACCAAGGCGACGACGGGUAGCCGGCCUGAGAGGGUGACCGGCCACACUGGGACUGAGACACGGCCCAGACUCCUACGGGAGGCAGCAGUGGGGAAUAUUGCACAAUGGGCGCAAGCCUGAUGCAGCAACGCCGCGUGAGGGAUGACGGCCUUCGGGUUGUAAACCUCUUUCAGUAGGGAAGAAGCGAAAGUGACGGUACCUGCAGAAGAAGCACCGGCUAACUACGUG
rnacentral:rRNA from 1 species